rnacentral:rRNA from 1 species
UACAGAGGUGGCAAGCGUUGUUCGGAAUUACUGGGCGUAAAGGGCGCGUAGGCGGCCAUCUAAGUCAGACGUGAAAUCCCCCGGCUUAACCUGGGAACUGCGUCUGAUACUGGACGGCUGGAGUUUGGGAGAGGGAUGUAGAAUUCCAGGUGUAGCGGUGAAAUGCGUAGAUAUCUGGAGGAAUACCGGUGGCGAAGGCGGCGACCUGGGUAGAUACUGACGCUGAGGUGCGAAAGCGUGGGGAGCAAACAGG